rnacentral:rRNA from 1 species
ACAGCAGUAGCCACGGUAAUACGUAGGUGGCAAGCGUUGUCCGGAAUUAUUGGGCGUAAAGGGCUCGCAGGCGGUUUCUUAAGUCUGAUGUGAAAGCCCCCGGCUCAACCGGGGAGGGUCAUUGGAAGCUGGGAAACUUGAGUGCAGAAGAGGAGAGUGGAAUUCCACGUGUAGCGGUGAAAUGCGUAGAGAUGUGGAGGAACACCAGUGGCGAAGGCGACUCUCUGGUCUGUAACUGACGCUGAGGAGCGAAAGCGUGGGGAGCGAACAGGAUUAGAUACCCGAGUAGUCCCUGUCUCUUAUAA